rnacentral:lncRNA from 1 species
GUGGACAAUGCAAGCGAUCCGCAGUGGAGAGAGUAAACGAAACGGGCGGUUCUAGAGACGCUGACCCAUCCGUGCAGGUGCAGUACGAGGCCGGAACGUCGCGAUCUCCAGCGAAGCGCGACCAAGCGCACUGCACCGACCCGACGGCCUGGCCGGCCGGCAGCGCGCGCCGCUCUGGAUCGCAGCGCGCUUCGCGCAUCGGUGCGCGCCACCACCGUACCCGACCCGACGACCCUCGCGUUUGCGCGUCCCGGCGGCCGGUCGCCGUGGGGGCUAGUGGUCGCGACGCGGAGGCAUGAUUCGCCAGCUUGCCAUGGUGGCCAGCGUUGAGGGGGCUCGUUCUGAAGCGGGGACGGAGACACCUGCCGCGCAAUACCGGAGGAGAAUAGCGACGGAGACGGGCGUUUGGACUUUGGGGACUAAUCGUUUCCACUGGUUCAGGGGUGUUUGGAAACACCCUAAAGUACUUUAGAAUCCGUC